UACGAAGGGGGCUAGCGUUGCUCGGAAUUACUGGGCGUAAAGCGCACGUAGGCGGCUUUCUAAGUCGGGGGUGAAAUCCUGGAGCUCAACUCCAGAACUGCCUUCGAUACUGGAGAGCUUGAGUCCGGGAGAGGUGAGUGGAACUGCGAGUGUAGAGGUGAAAUUCGUAGAUAUUCGCAAGAACACCAGUGGCGAAGGCGGCUCACUGGCCCGGUACUGACGCUGAGGUGCGAAAGCGUGGGGAGCAACAGGG
rnacentral:rRNA from 1 species